rnacentral:misc_RNA from 1 species
AGCAGCCGCGGUAAUUCCAGCUCCAAUAGCGUAUAUUAAAGUUGUUGCAGUUAAAAAGCUCGUAGUUGAAUUUCGGGAUUGACGUGAUGGUCGUGCCUUACGGGGUAUGAACUGUUGCUGUUGAUUUCUCACCUUCUGGAGAAACUUGAUGUCCUUAAUUGGGUGUCUUGCGGAUCCAGGACCUUUACCUUGAAAAAAUUAGAGUGUUUAAAGCAGGCAUUUUUGCUCGAAUACAUUAGCAUGGAAUAAUAGAAUAGGACGGCAUGGUUCUAUUUUGUUGGUUUCUAGGAUCACCGUAAUGAUUAAUAGGGAUAGUUGGGGGGCAUUAGUAUUCAAUUGUCAGAGGUGAAAUUCUUGGAUUUAUUGAAGACUAACUACUGCGAAAGCAUUUGCCAAGGAUGUUUUCAUUAAUCAAGAACGAAAGUUAGGGGAUCGAAGACGAUCAGAUACCGUCGUAGUCUUAACCAUAAACUAUGCCGACUAGGGAUCGGAUGAUGUUAAUUUUUUUAAUGACUCAUUC